GACCUGGUGGUGGAUGGUUCACGCCCACCCUUUAUUUGGAAUGAAUAAGCAUAUGUUGGGAGGAGUCGGUUCGAUUCCGGGCCAGGUCA